rnacentral:rRNA from 1 species
GCGCAGCAGUCGAGAAUUUUCACAAUGGGGGAAACCCUGAUGGAGCGACGCCGCGUGGAGGAUGAAGGCCUUUUGGUCGUAAACUCCUGUCAAACGGGAACAAGAAAGUGAUAGUACCGUUAGAGGAAGAGGCGGCUAACUCUGUGCCAGCAGCCGCGGUAAUACAGAGGCCUCAAGCGUUGUUCGGAUUCAUUGGGCGUAAAGGGUGCGUAGGUGGCUUGUUAAGUUGAAGGUGAAAUCUCGGGGCUCAACUCCGAAACUGCCUUCAAUACUGGCGAGCUCGAGGAUUGUAGAGGAGAAUGGAAUUCACGGUGUAGCAGUGAAAUGCGUAGAUAUCGUGAGGAAGACCAGUGGCGAAGGCGAUUCUCUGGGCAAUUCCUGACACUGAGGCACGAAGGCCAGGGGAACGAACGGGAUUAGAUACCCCCGUAGU